UGUGGUGAUGGAGUACGCCAGAGGAGGUA
rnacentral:piRNA from 1 species